UACGUAGGUGACAAGCGUUGUCCGGAUUUACUGGGCGUAAAGAGCGCGCAGGCGGGCGUUCAAGUCGAGGGUGAAAGCCCCCGGCUCAACUGGGGAGGGUCAUUCGAUACUGAUCGACUCGAAGGCAGGAGAGGGAAGUGGAAUUCCCGGUGUAGUGGUGAAAUGCGUAGAUAUCGGGAGGAACACCAGUGGCGAAGGCGACUUCCUGGCCUGUUCUUGACGCUGAGGCGCGAAAGCUAGGGGAGCAAACGGG
rnacentral:rRNA from 1 species